rnacentral:rRNA from 1 species
GAAUAUUGGACAAUGGGCGAAAGCCUGAUCCAGCCAUGCCGCGUGUGUGAAGAAGGUCUUCGGAUUGUAAAGCACUUUAAGUUGGGAGGAAGGGCAGUAAGCGAAUACCUUGCUGUUUUGACGUUACCGACAGAAUAAGCACCGGCUAACUCUGUGCCAGCAGCCGCGGUAAUACAGAGGGUGCAAGCGUUAAUCGGAAUUACUGGGCGUAAAGCGCGCGUAGGUGGUUCGUUAAGUUGGAUGUGAAAUCCCCGGGCUCAACCUGGGAACUGCAUCCAAAACUGGCGAGCUAGAGUAGGGCAGAGGGUGGUGGAAUUUCCUGUGUAGCGGUGAAAUGCGUAGAGAUCUGGAGGAAUACCGAUGGCGAAGGCAGCCGUCUGGCCUAAUACUGACACUGAGGUGCGAAAGCAUGGGGAGCAAACAG